rnacentral:rRNA from 1 species
ACGGAAGGCAGCAGUAGGGAAUAUUGCACAAUGGGGGAAACCCUGAUGCAGCAACGCCACGUGUGGGAAGAAGCAUUUCGGUGUGUAAACCACUGUCGUGAGGGAAUAAUGCUUAAUUUCGGUUAAGUUGAAUGUACCUCGAAAGGAAGCACCGGCAAACUUCGUGCCAGCAGCCGCGGUAAUACGAGGGGUGCAAGCGUUGUUCGGAAUCACUGGGCGUAAAGGGAGCGCAGGCGGAGAUGCAAGCAGUCUGUACAAUACCGGGGCCCAACCCCGGACCUGCAGACUGGACUGUUUCUCUUGGAUAGUUCAGGGGCAAGCGGAAUUCCUGGUGUAGCGGUGGAAUGCGUAGAGAUCAGGAAGAACACCGAUGGCGAAGGCAGCUUGCUGGGGACUUAUCGACGCUCAUGCUCGAAAGCGUGGGGAGCAAACAGGAUUAGAUACCCUGGUA